ACGCAUUCAAUCAGCUUAUUGAUCAAUAUACCACCAAUGUCAAGAACAACAUCAAAACGUGGUGCUACACCCGUAUCAAAACGUUUUUCGUGCUGCAACGGUAUGAGCUCAAUUUGCUUGGCCAUAACAUCAGCGACAUCGAUGUGAAAAAUGCCACCAAAGCAGUUAUGUUCAACAACAUAGUGCCAAGUGCGAAUGUGGAGCGGCUGCUCGAGCAAGCGCGUAUGAUCGGAAUACCAGUCGGUACGAAGUUGUGUGAUCUCGUCCGUGGUAGUUGGUUCCAGACAAUACCGAUAUUCAUCACCAUUCAACGGCUAGUGUUCAACCACCAUGAAAGAUACGAGCUCUUGAAUGAUCUCUGGCGCCGAUAUUAUCGGGAUCGAUUACACAACGCCAUGCCAUCCAUUGCACGCCCACCGAAAAUAAAAAACUUUCGUGUAAUUCCGAUAUUCAUCUGUUCUAUCAAAUGGCGUGCAAAUUGGGUGCCAUCAAGUUGGCAAAAGGAUUGUUUGGCCAGCCGGUGAACAUUUCGAAAAAGGUCUACGACAGCAAUCCAUUUGUGUCCUGGGACACAAUAUUCAACAUGGACAAGAUUCAGAAAGUCGGCAAUCGCAAGACAUUUGACUACACAAUCGUGACGGAUAGUGUGGCUGUUUCGUUGUGUUUCCUGAAGCCAGAAUGCCCCUCACACGAAUAUUCGCACGAGCAAAUCAACGAAAUGUACGAAAAUGGUGUUUUCCGCUUCGUGCUUGGCAUGGAUCCUGGUGUGCGAACCUGGAAUGCCACGGUGCGAAAACAUAUCGCAUCCGGUGUGGAAGAAAACAUCACGAUCGACGGUCCGAAAUACCAUUUUCGAGCGAAAUAUGGCAAACGAAAGCGCAAAUCGGAAAAAUGGCUACGAUUGUUCACCGAAUUGGAGCAACAUGACCGAAAUCAAUAUCCAUUCUAUCCAUCGCCCAAGGGAGCCUCAAAUUGGAUGAGUUACAUCGAACAUCGUGUGAAAAUGUUGCAGCCUGGAAUGGAGGUUUACACAGCACGCAAAUACAUUCGCCUCAAUCUCGAUAAACAUAUCGAGGAGACCCGUGCAAGUGAUACCAUCGCUGCUUUUUUGACCAGAAAAUUGCCAUCGCUCAUUUUCCUUGGUGCAGCUCAAAUGGCUCCAAAUUCGCCAAUUGGUAUUAAGAAACGGUUGCGGUGCCCUGGUGUACGGAAACUACUGAACAGCUUCAAGAAACUGCACAAUUGUGUGGUGGUGAUGGUUGACGAGUACAAAACAUCGCAGACGUGUGCAAAGUGCUUUCGGCCAUUUGAUCGACGUACAAAAAAGGACCGCUACAAAGUCUGCCGUCAGUGCAUUCCACAUGCAGCAAACAUCACGACUGACAAACACCUGAGCAGUGUGAUCAUCAGCAAGAAAAGCAACCGGUCGUAUCAACGAGAGCGACGACAUGUUGUUGCGGAAUAUGAACGAUUGAAUGUACAUCCAGUGUAUUCACAUGGUUUAGUGCCGAAACUCAAUGUAUGGUUCAAAAACUGGCAGCUAAACACUGAUAACACAUGGAACGAUUCACGUCAUCCACAUCAACAGAACACUGUUUGGCAUCGGGAUGAAGUCGCUGCCAAGUGCAUAUUGUACAAAGGUCUUUGUAUGAUAAAGGGCUUGGCUGUGCAUCCGCAACUGUCGAGACAACAUCAUGCAGCAGCUGCAGCCGCGCAGAACAAUGCCGAAGGCAACCAAGAUGACAACGAUAGCGACAGCGACGAUGAUUACGUUUACGUUCUCGGCGACGUGUCCGAUGAAGAAUAGUUUUUAGUUGAUGUAGGAUUAAGUUUUCAAACAAUAAUAAUUGUAACGUUUUGUUACUUUGCUGGGCUUUGAGUAUUGUGGCCUUGUCCGAAGUACGGGGCUUAGUCGGAUCAUAUAAAAUACCUCGUAGUCAUUACUCAAAAAAAUUAUAUUAAAAAUAAGCGUUUAAUUUUCCAUGUCAAAUGUCUUGUAUUACAUAAAU